UUUAAGUAGAAUUAGCCUAGUCCUGGUUUAUUUUAAGCCAUUAACGGGAAACUGGGCCGAGAUGUUUAUCGCUGUGAAAUCACAUUCAAGAAGUCUCAUUCAGCACACAUCGCGAUACUUGCUAUCAGUGACAGUUCCACAGUUUGGCUGAAAAGACGUAAAGGAAGCCCAGUGGUGUUUCUGGAGAGGGAUUCCUUCAGAAAUGGAGAAGACAGAAAGCUGCGGAGGCAGAUAUUUGCAGCAGAUUGUUUGCUGGUGACGCUGUAGUUCUCCAUCAUGCACAAGGACUCACCUCGUUAACUCUUUUUUUUUUUUUUUUUUCCCCCGCACACACAGAAAUGGUCCCUGGAUCAGUGAUUAGACUUUGCAGUGGUUUGAUUUUUGCAGAAGAUGUAACUUUUAUUUUAAUUAUAAGCUCAUAAUGAAUACAUUACAGAACUUUUUGUUCUCUUUUUCAAGCUUCAUACAGUAAACAUUUUAGACUUUAAUUAAGAGUUUUAGUAAAGGAGAUAUUCAUACACAGUCAUCCCCUAGUUCCAUUCAUGAAGUGAA